rnacentral:rRNA from 1 species
UUUACAAUUGUAGAAAUGAAUACAUUUUGACAAGGAAUCAAUGAAAAAUCUGACUAUCAACUAGUUGGUAGUAUAGAGGACUACCAAGGUUAUAACGGAUAACGAGAAAUUAGGGUUUGACAUCGGAGAAGGAGCUUUCAAAAUGGCUACUACUUCUAAGGAAGGAAGCAGGCGCGUAAAUUACCCACUUUUAACAGAAAGAGGUAGUGACGACAAAUAACUCUAUUCUUUAAGAAAAAGAAUUGAAGGAAUGAACGGAACGUACAUAGUUUUGUGAAAGCAAUUGGAGGGCAAGUCUGGUGCCAGCAGCCGCGGUAAUUCCAGCUUCCAAUAGUAUAUAUUAAAGUUGUUGUGAUUAAAAGGCUCGUAGUUGAAUGAAGAUACUAUUGAAAAGGCUUUUCUUUUUAUACAAAAAGAGAAGUUUAGUUAAACAAUAGAAGAAGGAAAUGGAUUACUUUGAAUAAAAUAGAGUGUUUAAAGCAAAACAAUGUUAAUGAAUAAUGAAGCAUGGGACAAUAAGAAGGAGAUUUGAAAGGAUUUCGAGAAGAAGAUUAAUAGGAAUAAUUGGGGGUAAUUUAGAAAAAGAUGGGAGAGGUGAAAAUCCAUGAUCAUCUUUAGAUAAACGAGAGCGAAAGCAUUUUACUCCAUUUAUAUU